CCCAAUGAAUUGCCACUUCCCAUUAUGAUGCGCAAUAAUUCCCUGGUAGCCCCUAGAUGCGUGCACGAGACAAAUGUUAAAAAACAACAACACGAGGCAAAUGUUAAAAAACAACAGAAAACCGUCAAUCGGUAAAUGAAGAAGAAGUAGCACUAUGUCUGAUGAGAGACGAAGAGAAAGAUUGAGAAGAUUUAAAAUACGGACGACUUCGAAAUCAUAAUAGAUACUUGGAACUACGGACACUUGGAUACUUAAAAAACGAAAAUUGGAAAACAAUAUAAAGAUCCUCUUUCCCCCGCACGAAGCUUUGAUGAUCACCCUUUGAAAAGAAAAGAAGAAAGAAGACUCUUCCCUUGUAUUUUGUACAUGGUAUUGGAAUCCUGGUGAGCAAGCCUUGAACACUUGAAACCUAAGCUAGCCCAGCUAAAAUUGUAUCGGUAAUUCCGAUUUGAUUGCUAGACAUUUAAAACCAGUCAGGACACCCAAUCUAUAGAUCAAGCAUAGAGUUUAUUUAAUGUAUGAAAUUUAGACAAUUUAAUAUAAUAAUGUGCUUGUUAAAAGAACUGUAAGCUCGAACUGUAGCCGUUUCAUUGGAAACUAGCAGAAAUUAUAAUCAGUUUAUUUUCACCAAAAAACGGGACAAUUAGUGUCCCGGGAAAUAUUAUUAAUUAUCCGGGACAGUCACUCAAAAAAGAGAACAAUCCCGGGAAAUCCAGUACAUGUGGCAACCCUAUCUACCAAGCCGAAAGUACUGUUCCCAUAUCAACAUGCCAAGCAUCCAUCAAAGUACUGUUCCCAUGCCAAGCAUCCAUUAAAGUCUACCAAAUUCUA